UGCGUUUGCGGGUGGUAGCA
rnacentral:siRNA from 1 species